AUGUGCUUCUAUAAAAGAGAUGAACAAGAAUUUAAUGCAAUCUUUGCCCGGAAACCUAGAAAGAAAAAAUGGCGCUGCACGGCUCGCUCCAUUAUCCCUACUCAGUUUGUCAUGCACUUUACCAAUGCUAGCGAAGUGGAGAGAGCUUGCUGCUAUGGGAAGCGUAUGCCUCUGAAGGAGGGGGCUGUUGUGGUAUGCAUAACUCCUUGGUCUGCUUUGAUAGGGGCCAAAGGGGUUAUGGAAAAGGCUUGGGUGAAGAUUCGCAACAUUCCCAUUGAAAAAAUAUGUGCUGAACAUAUUGCCUAUGUUGGAGGGCUGGUGGGGAUAACAUUGGAAGUAGAUGAGGCCACAAUCCAUAAACCUGAAUAUGCUAGAAUCUUGCUUAGGUGCAUGGAGGUGAAGAAAAUACCUCCCUCAGCUGAAGGGAUGUUGGGUGAGCAAUAUUAUGACUUCUUUUAUGAAGUUGAAAAAAUUGUGAUAGUGGGGGCUGAUAAGAGCCAAUCCUCUAUUGCUGUAGACAGUAGUGCAUCCCCUUCUUUUUCCAAGAAAGCAAGGACAAACCUAUAUCCCGCUUGUUCUGUUGGGCAAGGAGAAACCAGUGCGUCUAUGGUUGGUAAUUAUUCAUCCCAAAAUUAUGAAAAAGGGACACAACGACUUGCUGUUGUUGCUGAGAGUGAAGAAGAGGAGGACAGUGAUGAGGGAAAUCACACUGAAUUGCUGAUUGAGACCAUGACUAGAGAGCAUGAUGAUGUGAAAAAAAUUAAACUAUGGUUCUCAGACUGGCAAUACAUCCUAUGGGGAAAAUUUCGAGGUGCUGGAGGUGGAGAGAAUGGGUGGGUCUCCCACUUCUGA
rnacentral:rRNA from 1 species